rnacentral:rRNA from 1 species
AUUGAACGCUGGCGGCAUGCCUUACACAUGCAAGUCGAACGGCAGCACGGGAGCUUGCUCCUGGUGGCGAGUGGCGAACGGGUGAGUAAUAUAUCGGAACGUACCCAGUAGUGGGGGAUAGCCCGGCGAAAGCCGGAUUAAUACCGCAUACGAUCUACGGAUGAAAGCGGGGGAUCGCAAGACCUCGCGCUAUUGGAGCG